rnacentral:piRNA from 1 species
UUCCAUCACUCAGAAAUCUGU